rnacentral:pre_miRNA from 7 species
UUCUAUACAUUCAUAUUGAAAGACCCCCGAAGGGAGACCCUCACUCAGACACUCAAGUCCCGGGACAGCCGCGUACCCAAGAAGACACUGAGACCA